UGGGGAAUAUUGGACAAUGGGCGAAAGCCUGAUCCAGCCAUGCCGCGUGUGUGAAGAAGGUCUUCGGAUUGUAAAGCACUUUAAGUUGGGAGGAAGGGCAGUAAGCGAAUACCUUGCUGUUUUGACGUUACCGACAGAAUAAGCACCGGCUAACUCUGUGCCAGCAGCCGCGGUAAUACAGAGGGUGCAAGCGUUAAUCGGAAUUACUGGGCGUAAAGCGUGCGUAGGCGGCUAAUUGAGUCGGAUGUGAAAUCCCCGAGCUUAACUUGGGCAUUGCAUUCGAUACUGGUUAGCUAGAGGGUGGGAGGGGAUGGUAGAAGUCCAGGUGUAGCGGUGAAAUGCGUAGCGAUCUGGAGGAAUACCGAUGGCGAAGGCAGCCAUCUGGCCUAACACUGACGCUGAGGUACGAAAGCAUGGGGAGCAAACAGG
rnacentral:rRNA from 1 species